rnacentral:rRNA from 1 species
AUUGAACGCUGGCGGCAGGCCUAACACAUGCAAGUCGAGCGGAUGAAGGGAGCUUGCUCCUGGAUUCAGCGGCGGACGGGUGAGUAAUGCCUAGGAAUCUGCCUGGUAGUGGGGGAUAACGUCCGGAUACGGGCGCUAAUACCGCAUACGUCCUGAGGGAGAAAGUGGGGGAUCUUCGGACCUCACGCUAUCAGAUGAGCCUAGGUCGGAUUAGCUAGUUGGUGGGGUAACGGCCUACCAAGGCGAAGCUCCGUAACUGGUCUGAGGGGAAGGUCAGGCACACUGGAACUGAGACAGGGUCCAGGCUCCUACGGGAGGCCGCAGUGGGGAAUAUUGGGCAAUGGGGGAAAGCCUGAUCCAGCCAUGCCGCGGGUGUGAAGAAGGUCUUCGGAUUGGAGAGCACUUUAGGUUGGGAGGAAGUGCAGUAAGUUCAUACCGUGCUGUUUUGACGUUACCAACAGAAUAAGCACCGGCUAACUUCGUG